CAAACGGCCCUCUUUAGGGCCACAAGAACUUGCCUGUAUAUAUAAA
rfam:Bursaphelenchus xylophilus, Ka4C1 (inbred line), WGS project CADV01000000 data, contig: scaffold00579.30